UCAGCCAAACUCCGAAUGCCGGUAAGUGAGAGCGCAGCAGUGAGACGGUGGGGGAUAAGCUUCAUCGUCGAGAGGGAAACAACCCAGACUACCGACUAAGGUCCCAAAGCGUGUGCUAAGUGGAAAAGGAUGUGGAGUUGCAUAGACAACCAGGAGGUUGGCUUAGAAGCAGCCACCCUUGAAAGAGUGCGUAAUAGCUCACUGGUCAAGUGAUUCCGCGCCGACAAUGUAACGGGGCUCAAGCACAUCACCGAAGUCGUAGCAUUUACACAAUAGGUAGGCCUUCGUGGUCCAGCCGUGUUGAUGGGUAGGAGAGCGUCGUGUGGCGAGCGAAGCGGCGGG
rnacentral:rRNA from 11 species